rnacentral:tRNA from 1 species
AGNAAAGUGCCUGAAUAUUAAAGGAUUAUCGUGAUAGGAUAAAUUAUGUAAUGCUUCAUAUUACCUUUACUA